UCAUCAAUUGGUCUAUCUUUUCCCUCUGUAUUGAACAUUUCAUACAACUUACUGGUAGAGUCUAUACUUCAAGAAAACCAAUUUAAUACAUUUCAAACUGAUUCCUACAUUGGAAACUUGGGGUUGUGUGGACCUCCAUGGUCAACUAAAUGUGUAGAUGAUGAGCCACAGUCUCCACUACUGUUGAUCUACUACGAAGGUGACAAUGAUUUGAGCUGGUUCCAUUGGAAAAUCGCUUUGAUGGGCUAUGGAAGCGGACUGGUGAUUGGCUUGUCUAUGAGAUAUAUUGUAUUCACAACAGGAAGACCUCUAUGGUUUGUACUAAUGGUUGAAAGAGUGAGGCUUAGAAUCGUACGAAAAGUGAAAAGAAACCAUCCAAGAAGAAGAAAUUAGUGACUUCAACCGCUGCUCUUAACAAGAGCCAGGCGGUUGACAAGAGCAAGGAGUAUAAUUGAUUGAGUCAGCAUGGCCUAUACAUUAUCUUUCAGCAGACUGUUAUUUGCAAGUUUUUAUGGUAUGCCGAAUUUCCAUCAAAGCAUAAAAUAAAAGUGCUUCAAGAUCUGAUGGAAAAGGUAAUUUGUUUGCAAUUUUUGUAGUUUUAAGAGCUAUAAGGCUUAAGUUGAUGGGAUGCUACUACUUUUUCUGCUCUACAAAAUGCAGUUUCUGAACUUAUUAGUCCUAUUGUAAGUCUUUUAUUUUCUUAUAGAUCAUGAAUAUUAGUAAAAUAUAUUUUAUAAGAAAAUCGUGUAGAUUAUUUUCUGCUAUCUGUGUAUAUAUUUUCUCAUUAUUUCUAUCAUUUAAAAAGAAAUUUGAAGAAGUUACUCAGGUUAAAUUACUGAACAUGAAUACUAGAACUGAGUGGUUAAAAAAAGUGAAGUUUUUAAUUCAAAUUUAGAGAAAGUUUAGAUUUUGAUAAAUUGGGUCUUGGUGGUUGGUUGCAAGAGAGGUUUUGUUGUGGAAAGUGCAGAAAAUUAAUGCAGGGUGUGGAAUCAUGGACAUAGCAGAUUGUUGUUGAAGAAUGCUUUAGUCCAAAGUUUCUCAGGUUUUGAAAGUGUUUAAAGAGCAUGGAUUUGUUUUGGCUGCGUUUUAGGGAUUGUCAGUGUCUUUUCAAGCGGGUGAGACAGUGAUACGGCAAUCAGCACACUUUGGCCUUUUAAGGUAUAAAGUUUCUCGAGUUUUGACAGUGUUUGUUUCAUGUUUGUGCAAUCGUAUUUUUACAAAUUAUGCUUUUAAUUUUUCAUCCUUUUUUUUAUGUGAUAGAUAGUAUUUUCUGAUAGAAGCUCUGUUAGACCAUUUGUGUUUUUUCUAAAACAGCAGAUGCAGAAGAACCUUGCAAUUUUGGAAAAAAGGGACAAAGGGCAGUCACUCUUUUAUGUGAUUUUAUGACAGAAGAACAUAAACUGAAGGUGAUAGGGAAAAUUGCGUCUCAGUGGAUUACUUAUCAUGGAUCAAAGUUUCUCAGGUACUGACAGUGUUUAAAGAGCGUGCAUUGGUUUUGGCUGCACUUUAGGGAUUGUAUGUGUCUUUUCAAGUGGCUUAGACAGUGCCACGGCAAUCAGUGAGCUUUGGCUUUUUAAGGAUUCUCAUAAACUGGUGGUGAUAGGUAUAAGUGCAUCUCAGUGGAUUACACAUAUCAUGGAUUAAAGUCACUCUGAUCUAUCGCCCUUUAGUUGGAUUGUCCCGUGGUAUCAGUACAAGAUUUGUCAGGUUGGAAUCAUAAAAGAGGCUGCUUGAGAAAAAUCAGUCAUCCAAUGGAUACAAUGCAAAAGGAAAGACAUAGACCAUCCUGAUGACUACUGCCACCUAAUAUAUCACACACAAUUCUGUGAUCUUGGAGUUUUCUGUAGUAUUUCAGCUUCAAGUCCUCAAGAAAAAUAUCCUCUUGUCAGGAAAUUUCACAGAAAUACUUCUGGCUAACCUGAUAGAGAACUAUUUUGGUCGCAUCUGAACAGUCUACCAUGGGCUGCCAACAUGGCCUCAGUCUUCAACUGAUCACGUUUGUGAAUUCGAAAUAGAUAAUCUGCUUUAGCUACCAUUUGUAGAAAAAUAAUAGUAAUAGCCAGAAGCUCUGUAUGGAAUAUUUCAGAAUUCUGAUAUACACAGAUCCAUUAUAAUUUGAGGGCAAAAUUUUGUAUAAUUUAUUUGUAUUCAUA